GGCCUACGGGAGGCAGCAGUGGGGAAUAUUGGGCAAUGGGCGCAAGCCUGACCCAGCAACGCCGCGUGAAGGAAGAAGGCUUUCGGGUUGUAAACUUCUUUUCUCAGGGACGAAGAAAGUGACGGUACCUGAGGAAUAAGCCACGGCUAACUACGUGCCAGCAGCCGCGGUAAUACGUAGGUGGCAAGCGUUAUCCGGAUUUAUUGGGUGUAAAGGGCGUGCAGCCGGGCUGACAAGUCAGAUGUGAAAUCCCGCGGCUCAACCGCGGAACUGCAUUUGAAACUGUCAGUCUUGAGUACCGGAGA
rnacentral:rRNA from 1 species